CGGGGUUGCUAAGGGAGAUCUAUCAAUUUGUGCCCCCCUUCCACUCAUUGGGGCACAUGAGGAAUAUAAGGCUGCGACCCAUCUACUAGAACAGAUCAAGCCAGAAGCAGUGAUAUGGGAGCAAAUCUAUAUUCUAUACAGAGGAAAGUAGAACACACAAAAAAUCUGAGGUGCUGCUGUCCACCCAAACCAACUCUGAGGCAGUUCAGCCUGAGCAAGACAUGUGGCAAGACUUCCCCGUAAGCGGCAUGAAGUCUUGCGCUCUCGCAUCUCCUGAAAAACAUGAAGCCGG